rnacentral:lncRNA from 1 species
GAGGAGUCAAGGUGGACUUGGGGAUGCUGAGAAGAGUGGGCAGAUUUACCACCGAACAGUGUGGCCUGGAUGAGUAUUUCUUUAUCUUCAUGAAAGAUGGGGGCACGACUGUUCUGGCUUCUGAGGCCGUGGUGAAGACGCCUGUGAGAUCCAGCCAUCAGUCAUGCUGGCUCCUACACAGCAGCCAACUUGGACACUUCCCCCGUGUUUGCUGCAUUUCUUCUCCAUCUUUCACUGCUUGAUUUGUUUCUUCAGUUCUGCUUCCUGCGACUAUACUCCUCAAGAAAACAGUAGCACAUAAAUUCUUGCCUCAGUCUACAUUUAAUGAAGAGUCUAACUUCAUUUUUGUGUUUGCUGACAUCAUUUAAGCCCCAUUCUUCCUUCUGGCUAUGAGCAAGAACUAUCAAUAGCCCCACUCCCUAGCCAUCAUAAAAAUCCCAAGCAAAUCUCCUUUUCUGGCUCUCAUACAUCACUUUCAGAUCUGUUUGGAGGCUGCCUUAUUCUUUAUGCCCUAGUCUUAAAGAUUUUGGGAGUAUUUUUCAUUUGUCAUCUGUAGACUAAGAAAUUCUCCUAAGGUCUUGUCCAAGAAGGAUUUCUAGAGAGGUAAAAAGAUCUCAGCAAAGAAGAGUCGUAGAUAUUGAUACAUCCAGCCUGGAUGAGAAAGAACAAAGACAUAGUCACCCAGUAUAUUAGUCAACUCAGGCUGCCAUAACCAAACACCACCAAAUGGGGGGGGGCGGGGGUUAAACAAUAGACACUUAUUUCUCACAGCUCUGGAGACUGGAAAUAUGGGAAUAGGAUGCCAGCAGGGUGAGUUAUGAUGAGGGCUCCCUUGUUGACCUGCAGAUGGCUUUCUUCAUAUGUGUUCUCCUAUGGCCUUGCCUUGGUGCUGGCACAGAGAAAGUGAGCUUUGGGGGUCUUCUUAUGAGGGCAUAGAUUCCAUCAUGGGGUCCUCAUCCUUAUGAUAACAUUUAACCCUAAAUGCCUCCCGAUGCUCCCAUAUCCAAAUACCAUUACCUUGGGAUUAUGGCUAAAACAUAUGCUUUCCAGGAAGACUAAAGUCUGAGCAAAAGGAGAACUCCUUUGUGGCACAGUCUCAACCUCAACAAAAUCACCCAGGAGAGAGUCUGCUAAGUGUGUUAGAGUGUUCCUGCUUCCUCUUCUUUCAUGGAAUCUCAAUUGUUUGAGGACCAGUCAAGAACUGGAAAGAAGAAGCUAGAAGGAAGGAGGAAGAAUUAUAAAUGCUAAGGUAGGAAGGAAAGAAUACAGCUCCUUCCUCCCCAGUAGCCAGCUUCCUGCUGGAUUCUGGCUCAAGCAGGGUUCUACUCAUCUUUUAAUGCCAGGUUGAAGUUCUGACCAGAACAUGAAAUGAACUAUUCUAAUUAUUAAUUUGUGACAAUGUUUUACGUAACCAGAGGGUGUUGGACUACCUUAAUAGACAGUGGAGAAAUGAAAAUAAAGUGAUGUUUUAGGAGACA